AUGUAAUUCCAUAUCAAUUUUUAAUGCAUCGGAUCCCAUUAGAACUUCUUUGUUAAGAGUGUUUGGGUUAGAGUAGUACUCAGAUGGGUGACGUCUUGGGAAGUCCUAGUGUUUUACAUG
rnacentral:rRNA from 1 species